CCUACGGGCGGCAGCAGUGAGGAAUAUUGGUCAAUGGACGAGAGUCUGAACCAGCCAAGUAGCGUGAAGGAUGACUGCCCUAUGGGUUGUAAACUUCUUUUAUAUGGGAAUAAAAUGUUACACGUGUGGGAUUUUGUAUGUACCAUAUGAAUAAGGAUCGGCUAACUCCGUGCCAGCAGCCGCGGUAAUACGGAGGAUCCGAGCGUUAUCCGGAUUUAUUGGGUUUAAAGGGAGCGUAGGUGGGUUGUUAAGUCAGUUGUGAAAGUUUGCGGCUCAACCGUAAAAUUGCAGUUGAAACUGGCAGGCUUGAGUACAGUAGAGGUGGGCGGAAUUCGUGGUGUAGCGGUGAAAUGCUUAGAUAUCACGAAGAACUCCGAUUGCGAAGGCAGCUCACUGGACUGCAACUGACACUGAGGCUCGAAAGUGUGGGUAUCAAACAGGAUUAGAUACCCCAGUAGUC
rnacentral:rRNA from 1 species